rnacentral:rRNA from 1 species
UUACACAUNGCAAGUCGAACGNAUGAUNNNCNAGCUUGCUGCCGGAUUAGUGGCGAACGGGUGAGUAACACGUGAGUAACCUGCCCUUAACUCUGGGAUAAGCCUGGGAAACUGGGUCUAAUACCGGAUAUGACUCCUCAUCGCAUGGUGGGGGGUGGAAAGCUUUAUUGUGGUUUUGGAUGGACUCGCGGCCUAUCAGCUUGUUGGUGAGGUAAUGGCUCACCAAGGCGACGACGGGUAGCCGGCCUGAGAGGGUGACCGGCCACACUGGGACUGAGACACGGCCCAGACUCCUACGGGAGGCAGCAGUGGGGAAUAUUGCACAAUGGGCGAAAGCCUGAUGCAGCGACGCCGCGUGAGGGAUGACGGCCUUCGGGUUGUAAACCUCUUUCAGUAGGGAAGAAGCGAAAGUGACGGUACCUGCAGAAGAAGCGCCGGCUAACUACGUGCCAGCAGCCGCGGUAAUACGUAGGGCGCAAGCGUUAUCCGGAAUUAUUGGGCGUAAAGAGCUCGUAGGCGGUUUGUCGCGUCUGCCGUGAAAGUCCGGGGCUCAACUCCGGAUCUGCGGUGGGUACGGGCAGACUAGAGUGAUGUAGGGGAGACUGGAAUUCCUGGUGUAGCGGUGAAAUGCGCAGAUAUCAGGAGGAACACCGAUGGCGAAGGCAGGUCUCUGGGCAUUAACUGACGCUGAGGAGCGAAAGCAUGGGGAGCGAACAGGAUUAGAUACCCCUGGUA